UAUUUGUAGAAUAAGAGAAAGAAUUAGCAGAGUAUUUGUAGAAUAAGAGAAAGAAGGAGCAGAGUAUUUGUAGAAUAGGAGAAAGAAGGAGCAGAGUAUUUGUAGAAUAAGAGAAAGAAUGAGCAGAGUAUUUGUAGAAUAAGAGAAAGAAGGAGCAGAGUAUUUGUAGAAUAGGAGAAAGAAUGAGCAGAGUAUUUGUAGAAUAGGAGAAAGAAGGAGCAGAGUAUUU
rnacentral:lncRNA from 1 species